rnacentral:lncRNA from 10 species
AGCCGAGUCUUCCACUUUAUGAACAACGUAAGGCCUGUGCUGAGUUUCUUUCAUUCACUUCGCCAGAUCCACACCACACCCUUCUCCACCCUGGUCUGUGCUACAGGAAACUGACCUGCAUGGACCGUGUCUACUGAAUCCCUUGCCCUCUAGGUUCCAUGAGGUUCUGUCAGUGGGAAGCCUGGUGGCAGAUUGGGGUUGAUAGGAGAAUGAGUGGUCCUAGUGUGUCUGGAAUUGGAUCCUUCCAGUGUGUUCUUGGUCUCACUGAGUUCAAGAAUGAAGCUGCGGACCCUCGCGGUGAGU